CGCACAUUGCGCCCCUUGGUAUUCCAUGGGGCAUGCCUGUUCGAGCGUCAUUUGUACCCUCAAGCUUUGCUUGGUGUUGGGCGUUUUGUCUUUUUAUUAAGACUCGCCUCAAAGUAAUUGGCAGCCAGUGUUUUGGUAGUAAGCGCAGCACAAUUUGCGUCUUGGUCCCUCAACAGCGGCAUCCACAAAGCCUCUUUUUCACUUUUGACCUCGGAUCAGGUAGGGAUACCCGCUGAACUUAA
rnacentral:misc_RNA from 1 species